rnacentral:misc_RNA from 1 species
GCAAACUUGGUCAUUUAGAGGAAGUAAAAGUCGUAACAAGGUUUCCGUAGGUGAACCUGCGGAAGGAUCAUUACAGUAUUCUUUUGCCAGCGCUUAACUGCGCGGCGAAAAACCUUACACACAGUGUCUUUUUGAUACAGAACUCUUGCUUUGGUUUGGCCUAGAGAUAGGUUGGGCCAGAGGUUUAACAAAACACAAUUUAAUUAUUUUUAUUGAUAGUCAAAUUUUGAAUUAAUCUUCAAAACUUUCAACAACGGAUCUCUUGGUUCUCGCAUCGAUGAAGAACGCAGC